rnacentral:lncRNA from 1 species
CGGAUGAUGGUGGGGUGGUGAAAAGGGAAGGGUUUGAGAUUAUAAUUGGCGGUGGCUAUAGUCCACCUCCUGAGUAUGAAGAAGGCUGUCCACCUCCCCCUCCUGAGCCUGAAUGCCCCCCACCUCCACCUCCAUCUCCACCUCCACCUCCACCUCCAUCUCCACCUCCACCUCCAUCUCCACCUCCACCUCCACCUCCAUCUCCACCUCCACCUCCAUCUCCACCUCCACCUCCACCUCCAUCUCCACCUCCACCCC